ACGUUAGCCAGAAUGGUAAUAAAUCCGAGAUUGAUAUUGGUCGAGUUAGGAAGAUAGAUGAUGCAGCAGAAGGGCAUAGAAGCAUGAGCUCAGAUAUGAUGGAAAUGGAAGACAUGAAAUCUGGUGUUUCAUCACGUAAGAAGAAGCAGUUGAAAGACAAAGGGAAAGGAAAAACUGCUUCUGCUGCAAUUGAUGAUGGGAAGAAAGGAAAGGAGAUGCAAAAAGCUAAAAGAAAUUCAAAGGCAGCUGAUGGAAUCUGUGAAAGCCUAGUUGAUAAAAAGAAUAAGGGUAUUAAAUCUGGAUCUGGGAAGUCCAAAGUUGACACAACUAAGACUUCUCCGGCGAAAAAAACAAAGCCCGGUGAUGUGGAAUCCCCUGAAGAAUCUCUAAA
rnacentral:lncRNA from 1 species